UUUGGCACUAGCACAUUUUUGUGUUCCUGUCGUACGACAAAAAUUGUAGUAGUGUCAAGUA
rnacentral:pre_miRNA from 1 species